CUCUACACAACUCUACCGCUUCCAUACGCACUCAGCUCUAUGUUCGAAGAAACUCACAUCAACAAAAUAAUUAAUAUGUGUUCAAGUAACACUCUCAGUCUACACAGUACUUCAGUCGUGUACCAUCCGUUGUGCGGGAAGUUUAAAAUACAAAUCGUGUGAACGUUGUUUACGUUGAACUUCCUUUAUAUAUUUAAGUUUAUUAGUUUUCUUUAGUAACGUUAUUGUGUGUUAAUGUACAUUAAACGGUUGUAAAACCAAAUUCAUAAAUAAUUAUUAAAAUGAUACGUUCGUAGGACGAGCCAUAUUCGUCAGAAACAACAGUUCGUUCAAUCUAGUCGGGUCAAAGAAACUUUUAAGAAUAUUAACGUUAAGCAUUUUAUAGAACCUAACUGUUCUAUACGAAAACAACACGCUUUUUUUCUCGCACUGCUGCGUUCCAUUCAAAAACAAUGUUCAUUCGCUAUGCCUUCCUCCUGAUAUUCAACUACUUAGUUAUUUCAACAUUCGGUCAUCCAUUCAUAUUCACAUCCACCGGAAAUAAUCGAAGACAAUACACAAAAUGGACGAGCCCUGUGGAUGAAUGGAAUAUUACCAGUCUACCCAGAAGCAUAGUGCCACAUCUAAAACCUCGGAAUGGCACGCAUCAGUUGCCAAUGGUUAGACCAGAUGCCGGUGAUGAAGGUGCCGGUUUGGAACGGCUCAAAGAAUUAAAGGAAAAUAGUACAGCACGUAUGCUGUGGUAUGAAUCGUCUGAUAUCCAUUCGUUAACACAUUAUCCACCAUUCGUUGAUAAAGCACUGAAAUUGUUCAAUUUAAAACAAGUUGCGCAUGAAAUUGAAACAAGUGUAAUGUCGAAAGUAUCAUGUACUGCAUGCAAAGCAGGUGCUGGACUACUGCAACACUAUAUUCAAUCGGGAAAAACUAAAGACGAAAUCAUCAAGACGAUAUACCAGUACUGUGUGAACUUAAAGAUCCAAAGCCCACGAGUCUGUGAAGGUGUCAGUCAAUUAUUCGGAGUCGAAGUGAUCUACGUGCUUAAACGGGUUACUAUCGGUCCGGAUGAAAUUUGCAGUUUCGUUAUCGGUGAUGCAUGUGGUGACGUAUAUAAUCCGUAUCAUGAAUGGGAGGUCGAAUUUCCGCCCGUACCCAAACCGGCUGUAGUUGAUAUUCCGUUGCCGAAAGAGGGCGUACCUACUUUUAAGGUCCUUCAUCUAUCUGAUACGCACUAUGAUCCGUAUUAUGCCGAAGGAUCGAAUGCUGAUUGUAAUGAACCUUUGUGUUGCCGCUUAACGAAUGGCAGGCCAUUGACUCCCAAUAAUGCUGCUGGAAAAUGGGGUGACUAUAGGAAAUGUGAUACACCCAAACGUACUGUAGAUCAUAUGCUGGACCAUAUUGCCGACACUCAUGCGGACAUUGAUUAUAUACUUUGGACAGGUGACCUUCCACCACACGAUGUUUGGAAUCAAACGAAAGAAGAAAAUUUGAAAAUUAUUAAGGAAACCGUUAAGCAGAUGUCUGAGAAAUUUCCAGGAAUUCCAAUUUUUCCAGCAUUGGGUAACCAUGAAAGUGCUCCAGUUAAUAGUUUUCCUCCACCGUAUGUUCAACAAGUCGAUAGUUCAAUAUCAUGGCUGUAUGAUGAAUUAGAUGUCCAGUGGCGAAACUGGCUUCCUAGCAGCGUUUCCCAUACUGUGCGAAGAGGUGCUUUCUACUCGGUGUUGGUUCGACCGGGUUUUCGUAUUAUCUCUCUCAAUAUGAACUAUUGCAACAACAAAAACUGGUGGCUACUGCUCAAUUCGACCGAUCCAGCAACGGAAUUACAAUGGUUCAUUUAUGAGCUUCAGAGUGCUGAAUUUUCCAACGAAAAGGUGCACAUUAUCGGCCAUAUACCACCAGGCCACUCCGAUUGUCUGAAAGUGUGGUCGAGAAAUUAUUACCGAAUCAUAUCAAGGUACGAGAGUACCAUUACCGCGCAGUUCUUUGGACACACUCAUUUCGACGAGUUCGAGGUGUUCUACGAUCCAGUCAAUCUAGGACGAGCGACAAAUAUUGCUUAUAUCGGACCCAGUGUCACCCCUUACAAUGACCUCAACCCAGGAUAUAGAAUUUAUUAUGUGGAUGGAGACCAUGAUCACACGACGCGUAUGGUGAUCGACCAUGAGAAUUGGAUUAUGAAUUUGAGGGAAGCAAAUCUGUACGAUUACCCCAUUUGGUAUAAGUUGUACUCAACUCGAGUCGCCUAUGGAAUGAAGGGCCUACGUCCGUCCGAUUGGGAUGAACUUGUCAAUACAAUGACAAACAAUCCGGAAGUGUUCGAUUUGUAUUACAAGCACUACUGGAAAAACUCUCCGGUACGACCGCCAUGUGACCCGGAGUGCAAAAAGCGAACAUUGUGUGACGCAAAGAGCGGUCGCAGUCACGAUCGUAAACAUUUCUGCGAAGAAGUUGAAUCGAAAAUUGACGAAGGCUCAUCAAAUAAAGGCUGGAAGGCUUGGCUAUACCGUGGAUUUAGUGUAUCGUAUGUACUUCAGAAAAUUUUACCAUUUUUAUCAUAAAGGCUACUGACAACAUUUAAAAUGCAAUAUAUUCGCUCGGAAAUGGUAUCUGGCCCUGAUGUCUUUUAUGGAGAAAAUGAAAUUAGAUUUACCAGCAAGCACCUCCAAUACAGUAACCACCGAGACAAAUCCGAAAAGUAAUUGCUCAACUGAGGAACAGCAACUGAAAUCGAUUUUAACAAAUCAAGUUGACCCAUGCGCUUCUGACGAAUUUCUAGCCGAAAUAGGAGGUGAAAACGAGCAUCGAGAAUCAUUUACAUAUCCGAAGGAGACGGUGUCCUACGAACGAGAUCAUCAAUCUUAUCUGGUGGAUCAAUUAAAUGUCGGCUUAAAUGCUAUCCGUGUUGUGUGUCCGUGGUGUUAGGAUUGAAUUAUUGUUAACAUAAUUGUAUAUUUCGGUGAGAGGUCUCUCUGUUAAAUGUAAAUAUUUUGAUUUUUGGCUUGAAACUACUAUGGAUGUAUACAUAAUUAAAGAACCAAACGAUUCAAAGUAACCAAAGUCUCAUUGGAAUUUUCUUUUUUUUUGUUCGAAUUCCCAAUUUCAGAAUGAACGUACUGAUGUCAAUAACGAGAUUACCCAAGUAUGUAAUGGGAUAUGGAUAACAGAUGGACCACUGAAAAUGAUGUGUGCGCUUGUGGAUGGAGAAAGGAAAAUUUCGAGUAUUUAUUCGGUGUGAAAGUGAGAUUGAUUGAUAAUUGUAUUUUUGUGAUAAUUAAAUUGAGAAUAAAAAUAUGUAAAGGCAAAAGAUGCUA